rnacentral:rRNA from 1 species
GACGAACGCUGGCGGCGUGCCUAAUACAUGCAAGUCGAACGCAGUGGGGACGGGUGAUUAACCCGUUGGUAACCUCCCAUCAGAGGGGAUAACCCUUGGAAACAGGUGCUAAACCGAUACUGAUGGAUGGACCAGCGGUGCAUUAGCUAGUUGGUGAGGUAACGGCUCACCAAGGCCACGAUGCAUAGCAGCACUGAGAGGGUGAUGGGCCACACUGGGACCGAGACACGGCCAAGGUCCCAAGGGUAGGAAGGAGUGGGGAAUUGUUCACAAUGGACGAAAGGCAGACCGUGCAAAGCGGGGUGGUUGAAGGAGGGUUUCGGGCCGUAGACCUCUGUAGUUAAAGCCGCGGUAGCUGACCAGAAGGCCACGGCUAACUACGUGCCAGCCGCCGCGGUAAUUC